AUUGAACGCUGGCGGCAUGCUUUACACAUGCAAGUCGAACGGCAGCACGGACUUCGGUCUGGUGGCGAGUGGCGAACGGGUGAGUAAUACAUCGGAACGUACCCAGUAAUGGGGGAUAACUAUCCGAAAGGAUAGCUAAUACCGCAUACGCCCUACGGGGGAAAGAGGGGGAUCGCAAGACCUCUUGUUAUUGGAGCGGCCGAUGGCUGAUUAGCUAGUUGGUGGGGUAAAGGCCUACCAAGGCAACGAUCAGUAGCGGGUCUUAGAGGACGAUCCGCCACACUGGAACUGAGACACGGUCCAGACUCCUACUGGAGUCAGCAGUGGGGAAUCUUGGACAAUGGGCGCAAGCCUGAUCCAGCAAUGCCGCGUGCGUGAAGAAGGCCUUCGGGUUGUAAAGCGCUUUUGUCAGGGAGCAAAUCCUUGUGGCUAAUACCCACCGGGGAUGAGAGUACCUGAAGAAUAAGGACCGGCUAACUACGUGCCAGCAGCCGCCGUAAAAC
rnacentral:rRNA from 1 species